UACGUAGGGAGCAAGCGUUGUCCGGAAUCAUUGGGCGUAAAGCGCGCGUAGGCGGCCCUGUAAGUCCGUUGUGAAAGUCAAAGGCUCAACCUUUGAAAGCCGAUGGAUACUGCAGGGCUAGAGUCCGGAAGAGGAGAGUGGAAUUCCGUGGUGUAGCGGUGAAAUGCGCAGAUAUCAGGAAGAACACCAAUGGCGAAGGCAGCUCUCUGGGACGGUACUGACGGCUGAGACGCGAAAGCGUGGGGAGCGAACAGG
rnacentral:rRNA from 1 species